UACGUAGGGUGCAAGCGUGGUCCGGAAUUAUUGGGCGUAAAGAGCUCGUAGGCGGUUUGUCGCGUCGAAUGUGAAAACCCGGGGCUCAACCCCGGGCCUGCAUUCGAUACGGGCAGACUAGAGUUCGGUAGGGGAGUCUGGAAUUCCUGGUGUAGCGGUGAAAUGCGCAGAUAUCAGGAGGAACACCGGUGGCGAAGGCGGGACUCUGGGCCGAUACUGACGCUGAGGAGCGAAAGCGUGGGGAGCGAACAGG
rnacentral:rRNA from 1 species